rnacentral:rRNA from 1 species
UACGGAGGGAGCUAGCGUUGGUCGGAAUUACUGGGCGUAAAGCGCACGUAGGCGGCUUUGUAAGUUAGAGGUGAAAGCCCGGGGCUCAACCCCGGAAUUGCCUUUAAGACUGCAUCGCUUGAAUCCGGGAGAGGUGAGUGGAAUUCCGAGUGUAGAGGUAAAAUUCGUAGAUAUUCGGAAGAACACCAGUGGCGAAGGCGGCUCACUGGACCGGUAUUGACGCUGAGGUGCGAAAGCGUGGGGAGCAAACAGG